CACGUAGGGUGCGAGCGUUUGUCCGGAAUUAUUGGGCGUAAAGAGCUCGUAGGCGGUGUGUCGCGUCGGCCGUGAAAACCUGCAGCUUAACUGUGGGCUUGCAGUGGGUACGGGCAGACUAGAGUGCGGUAGGGGUGACUGGAAUUCCCGGUGUAGUGGUGAAAUGCGUAGAUAUCGGGAGGAACACCAGUGGCGAAGGCGACUUCCUGGCCUGUUCUUGACGCUGAGGCGCGAAAGCUAGGGGAGCAAACGGG
rnacentral:rRNA from 1 species